CCUCAGCGGUGUGGUUGGUAUGGUAUUAGCGUCUCACCUCGGUGGUCGCGGGUUCGAUUCUCGGCCAUUCCAUUGAGGAGUGAGAGAUGUGUAUUUCUGGUGAUAGAAGUUCACUCUCGACGUGGUUCGGAAGUCACGUAAAGCCGUUGGUCCCGUUGCUGAAUAACCAAUGGUUCCAUGCAACGUAAAAGCUCCAUACAAACAAAUCCCAGUGCAGCCUACCUAUACCCAGCAGUAUUCAGAAUCAAUGCAGCCACGAAAACCUUGGUAGUAGGCAUGAGGCAACCCAUCAGGAACAUUAGGCGAGCCUCCAAUCCAAAGUUUACCAUUUGUAUUUAAGGUAGUAGCACCUUCUUCAGCCACUCCUUUGACUGGUCUUUCAUUAUCCACCCUGAGAACGCCUAAACGUUUCCUUCGGUGAGCUACUAGUGUGUGCCACUGACCAUCAUCUACCCGCACCUGUUAAAUGAAAGAUAAAUUCUUCCAAGAGUGGCUGAUUCCCUCCAGUAAGUCUUAAGCUUUGCAUUAAAUGGUUAUUCUUUGACAGUCUUGCACAUCAUGGCAUUUAAAGGAAGCAGAAAAGGAUUUUAAGUAAGAAGUAUCAAUGAUGAUGACAACAGCAAGACCGAACUAUAAUGAGUUAUGGUGAUGUCACUAAAUCAUUUUGUACCUAAUCGUAAUUUAUUGCUCUGCCAGGCCAAAGGAUAACCUUUCUUCUCCCAAGCAAUUACAUAACACCCUUCGUUGGGGUUAAUAGUUCUCUAAUGAGGUUAAUAGUUGUCCAACUGGUUUUUUAGAAGAUUGAUUCCUUCAAACUAAACUUACAAUUUUUCCUUUGCGAACUUUCUCCUCAGGUCCUACUCCUAAAAACUUUUGUUUCAGAAACUUGCUUCAUUACUUCAAAGGGAGUUGGAACCCACCCUUUCACCUAUUUUUGCUCCCAUCUUCAGUACGAAAAGGGCCUUAUAAUAAAAAAAUAGAAGUCCAUUGUAUUAGCCUUAUCCUUAAAUAAAUGCAGAUUACAUGUA